rnacentral:rRNA from 1 species
GAGUUUGAUCAUGGCUCAGAUUGAACGCUGGCGGCAGGCCUAACACAUGCAAGUCGAGCGGAUGACGGGAGCUUGCUCCUUGAUUCAGCGGCGGACGGGUGAGUAAUGCCUGGGAAUCUGCCUGGUAGUGGGGGACAACGUUUCGAAAGGAACGCUAAUACCGCAUACGUCCUACGGGAGAAAGCAGGGGACCUUCGGGCCUUGCGCUAUCAGAUGAGCCUAGGUCGGAUUAGCUAGUUGGUGGGGUAAUGGCUCACCAAGGCGACGAUCCGUAACUGGUCUGAGAGGAUGAUCAGUCACACUGGAACUGAGACACGGUCCAGACUCCUACGGGAGGCAGCAGUGGGGAAUAUUGGACAAUGGGCGAAAGCCUGAUCCAGCCAUGCCGCGUGUGUGAAGAAGGUCUUCGGAUUGUAAAGCACUUUAAGUUGGGAGGAAGGGCAGUAAGUUAAUACCUUGCUGUUUUGACGUUACCGACAGAAUAAGCACCGGCUAACUCUGUGCCAGCCGCCG